UUAAACGCCGGUUCUCGUACGGUCACCGAAGUUAAGCAACGUCGAGCCUGCUUACUACCUAGAUGAGCGACUGCUUGGGAAUACCAGGUGUUAUA